rnacentral:tRNA from 1 species
GCGAAAGUGGCGGAACUGGUAGACGCGCAAGUCUCAGAAGCUUGUGGCCGAAAGGUCGUGGGGGUUCGAGUCCCCCCUUUCGCACCA